AGCGAACGCUGGCGGCAGGCCUAACACAUGCAAGUCGAGCGCCCCGCAAGGGGAGCGGCAGACGGGUGAGUAACGCGUGGGAACGUACCCUUUGCUACGGAAUAGCUCCGGGAAACUGGAAUUAAUACCGUAUGUGCCCUACGGGGGAAAGAUUUAUCGGCAAAGGAUCGGCCCGCGUUGGAUUAGUUAGUUGGUGGGGUAAUGGCCUACCAAGGCGACGAUCCAUAGCUGGUCUGAGAGGAUGAUCAGCCACAUUGGGACUGAGACACGGCCCAAACUCCUACGGGAGGCAGCAGUGGGGAAUAUUGGACAAUGGGCGCAAGCCUGAUCCAGCCAUGCCGCGUGAGUGAUGAAGGCCUUAGGGUUGUAAAGCUCUUUCACCGGAGAAGAUAAUGACGGUAUCCGGAGAAGAAGCCCCGGCUAACUUCGUGCCAGCAGCCGCAGUAAAAC
rnacentral:rRNA from 1 species